rnacentral:lncRNA from 1 species
GGAUCAGAGACCAGGAAGUUCCAAUGCUCCAAAAUUCACUCGAAGACUUGAUCACAUCAUUAGUGUUGAGAGAAUCAUAAGCAGCUGCCAGAGAUUGUGUUCAGAGCCAGACCGUGGUAUCUCAUGCCCACCUCAAAAGAAAAGAAAAAGGAAAAAAUCAUGGUAAUCCUGGGGUGCAACUGGCUCUCCUUUUAGACUCUAACUCAAGCUGCUACAUAAUGUGGUCUUGCAAUUCCUUGGCUUGAGAAGUAGGUCCUGCAAAGUUAAACUGGAUGGCAUAAAACAUGCCUUAGUGAUGGAGUCAACCUUUGUCUGGAAGAAUCUGGAGUUACCAAAGGCAGAAGCAUGGCAAAAUUCUCACUGAAGAGCUGAUGAGUGUCUCUCUUGGCAAUUUUCCUGGUGGGC